GCCCUUUGUACACACCGCCCG
rnacentral:ncRNA from 2 species